ACUUACAUGCCUGUACAACCUGGUGUUUUGUGUCACCAGGUCUCUGAAAGAUGAAGCACAACAACCUCUCUGUGGAGUGUUAAACUGAAGUCCUGAACCAGUGGCCCUGACCUGUGACAGCUCAGCUACAGCUUCACUGCAGACCAAGGCUGCCUGCCAUGAGGUGUAUAGUCAUUAGGGUUGGUGUGUAGUUCCAGAAGAAUGCAGAUGAGUGCAGGUCUCAGCAUCUCCGGCAUCAGCAGUUCCAAGAUGGAGCUGCACAACAUAAGAGGAGGAGGUCCAUUCCAAGUCCUGUACACGCUGGUCCCCGCAGGAGAGUUCCAGCCCUGGCCUGGCAGACCCCUCCAUAACUAUUGAUUCAACAUGAAGAGUGUGUGAGCAGAUGGACGACUUACCUUCCUCUUGAAGUGGUGUGACUGAGGAGGGAUCUAUGCCUCCUGGAAGUCUCCAGUCAUGAGUGUCUCCGGGGUGAAGCGUCAGCGGAAGCGUCAGUGCAGCGUCAGGCAGUGUCAGCCUGUGCCGGCCUGCUCCCGGCCGCGCUUCCUCAGACCGCUUAGUGCGAAGACCCGUGGGCAAAGACUAAGCGAGGGCCAGGACAGCGAGGGCUGGGGAUUAGCGAGGGUAGGGGUAUGCGAGUCCACCUGCGCGAGUCAACCGAGCAGAGGCAAACGAGGAGAGGCACCACGGAAGACCCCUGGUCCCCCUGGCUGGUAGAAGUUCCCCACUCCCUUUGGCUCCAUGCUGGUCCUCCUUCACCAACUACCUUGCUCAGGCUUCAGGCAGUGGUAGGCCUUGGUGGAAGGUGGACUCUGGAGGAACAUCCAACCUCAUACCAACAAUCCUUGCAACAUGUUCCAAAACAAAUCUGUAUUACAACUAAACAUUUCUUCUUCUCUGCUGCAAUCCAUAACUGCCUUGGUCUGCCAAUGUCACACUCAUGAUUGAUUCCCUGCUCAAAGGAACCUCCACUCCUCCAUGCUAUGCUAACUUGCUAAGGUGGUGGAAGGCCUCAGGAACACUCCAACCUCCAUACCAUCUGCACAUACCAACAAUCCUUCAAACAUGCUUCAUGUCCAACAACAAGUCUCUAUUAAAGCAAAAGCUGUGUUGUU